rnacentral:rRNA from 1 species
UGCGUAGGCGGAAUAUUAAGUCAGUGGUGAAAUCCUGCGGCUCAACCGUAGAACUGCCAUUGAUGCUGAUAUUCUUGAAUGUAGUUGAGGUAGGCGGAAUGUGUAAUGUAACGGUGAAAUGCUUAGAUAUUACACAGAACACCGAUUGCGAAGGCAGCUUACUAAACUAUGAUUGACGCUGAGGCACGAAAGCGUGGGGAGCGAACAGGAUUAGAUACCCUGGUAGUCC